UCCCUGCUGGUCUAGGGGCUAAGACUCUGAGCUCCCAAUGCAGAGGGCCCAGGUUCAAACCCUGGUCAGGGAA
rfam:TPA: Bos taurus chromosome 18, whole genome shotgun sequence.